AACGAACGCUGGCGGCGUGCCUAACACAUGCAAGUCGAGCGGGAAAAUUCCCUUCGGGGAGUGAGUACAGCGGCGAACGGGUGAGUACAACGUAGGUAACCUACCCCCGAGCCUGGGAUAACCUGUCGAAAGACGGGCUAAUACCGGAUAAGACCACGAAAGCUCCGGCUUUUGAGGUAAAAGGUGGCCUCUGCUUGCAAGCUACCACUUGAGGAUGGGCCUGCGCGCCAUUAGCUAGUUGGUGAGGUAACGGCUCACCAAGGCGAAGAUGGCUAGCUGGUCUGAGAGGAUGGCCAGCCACACUGGGACUGAGACACGGCCCAGACUCCUAC
rnacentral:rRNA from 1 species